AAUGAACGCUGGCGGCGUGCCUAACACAUGCAAGUCGCACGAGAACUCCCGGGGCUUGCCCCGGGACAGUAAAGUGGCGCACGGGUGAGCAACGCGUGGGCAAUCCGCCCCGGAAUCGGGAAUAACAUUGCGAAAGCGAUGCUAAUACCGGAUAAUGACAUUGCGGCCGAGGCCGUGAUGUCCGAAGGAGGCCUCUGCGCGCAAGCUUCCGUUUCGGGACGAGUCUGCGUGCCAUUAGCUUGUUGGCGGGGUAACGGCCCACCAAGGCGACGAUGGCUAGCUGGUCUGAGAGGGUGAUCAGCCACACCGGAACUGGAACACGGUCCGGACUCCUACGGGAGGCAGCAGUGAGGAAUUUUGCGCAAUGGGCGAAAGCCUGACGCAGCAACGCCGCGUGGGUGAUGAAGGUCUUCGGAUUGUAAAACUCUGUCUUCAGGGACGAUAAUGACGGUACCUGAGGAGGAAGCCACGGCUAACUACGUG
rnacentral:rRNA from 1 species